rnacentral:lncRNA from 1 species
GGCCUCAGAGGUGCAGCGGGAGAAGGAAUUCCUUUUGUGCCUCUGUGCCCAGCCCUGCAGGGGCUGCCGGGACAGUAGCUGUGUCUGUGGAGAUAAGUUUCCAGCUGGCGUCUUUGCACUCACCAGGGGCUUCUCUCCUAGCAACCGUAGGCUCCUGGUCCUGCAGCUCCCUGAUGGGCUGGGAGGAGUCACGCCACGUUAUGACGGUUUUACCGACAUGAUCAGCAGGGAGCGCCACUCGAACGCUUGGAGGUAAACCCCAUAAGGCUGAGCUUGGUGUGCCGUUUACAACCAUAGCAUUUGGUCUUCUGCUUUCCAAGUCUCACAGCAUCUCCACCACUUACAGUGCCACCAAGUGGAUUCUGGCUGCUAGUGACCCCGUGUACAGCAGAGUGGAACCCUGCCUGGUGUUUUUGCACCAUCCUCUCACCUUCCAGCUCUGAAUCGGACAAUGCUCUGCCACUAUUCAGAGCGUUUUCAUGGCCAAUGUCUUCGGAAUUGGGUGGCCAGGUCCUUACUCCUAGUGUGUCUCAGUCUGGAAGCUCCGCUGAAACCACGGGUGACCCUGCUGGUAUUGGAAAUACUGGUGGCAGAGCUUUGAGCAUCACAGCAACAUGCAGCCGCCACAGUGUGACAACUGACAGAUGAGUGGUGUGUUUCCCUGACCAGGACACGAACGGGGGCCAUGGUGGUGAAAGCCACUAGACCACUGGGGCUGACUCCCCAGUAUAUUUAUCUUCCCAUAAUUCACCACACUAGAAACUCACAACCCUUUCACUUUGUCUUAUUGCUUCUCUGAAAAUUUAUUAUUUUUAUUGUUAAGAUGCUAUAUAGGCCUAAGUUCUAGCCAUCUCUUUGAGUUACUCAUCUCCCAGUUUCUCCCAUGUGUAUGUGAGAUAUGCAUGUUAAUAAACCAGUUUGUUUUUCUC